ensembl:lncRNA
CUGUAAAAUCAGCAAGAACUCUCAACUCCUGAGGCAGUGCCCCGCAAACCCUGCUCCAUUUGUAAAGCUGCUUCUUGCUGUUUUAAUGGUGAUUCAAACAUUGAAGAAGAAAGUUUCUGAGCAGCGAUCCACAGAACUUUCUCAAACUGAGCAGAACUUUGGAGUAGAAGGUUUUGGUAGGAAGGCAUCAUCCCAAAAUGUCAUCAGAACUGGAGGAACUCAAAUUUGAAAUCCAGAAGUGUAAAUUCGAGAGGCAUGAACUUUAUCAAAUCCUGGACCUUUAUAUCUAUGAUGAUUGGGACUACAGCAUCAGGCACUCCCAGCUCCUGUGUGAACAAACUCAAUUGAAG